rnacentral:rRNA from 10 species
GGAAUACCGCUGAACUUAAGCAUAUCAAUAAGCGGAGGA